CCUACGGGUGGCUGCAGUGGGGAAUAUUGGACAAUGGGGGCAACCCUGAUCCAGCCAUGCCGCGUGUGUGAAGAAGGCCCUCGGGUUGUAAAGCACUUUCAGUGAGGAAGAACGCCUGGUGGUUAAUACCCAUCAGGAAAGACAUCACUCACAGAAGAAGCACCGGCUAACUCCGUGCCAGCAGCCGCGGUAAUACGGAGGGUGCGAGCGUUAAUCGGAAUUACUGGGCGUAAAGCGCGCGUAGGUGGCUUGAUAAGCCGGUUGUGAAAGCCCCGGGCUCAACCUGGGAACGGCAUCCGGAACUGUCAAGCUAGAGUGCAGGAGAGGAAGGUAGAAUUCCGGGUGUAGCGGUGAAAUGCGUAGAGAUCGGGAGGAAUACCAGUGGCGAAGGCGGCCUUCUGGACUGACACUGACACUGAGGUGCGAAAGCGUGGGUAGCAAACAGGAUUAGAUACCCCAGUAGUC
rnacentral:rRNA from 1 species